rfam:Brassica oleracea var. oleracea cultivar TO1000 chromosome C3, whole genome shotgun sequence
UGAAUAUAAGAACCCGUCUCUUAACUUUUAAAUAAAAAAGCUAAGAAUCGGCUCUUAAAUAAGAGUUUUAAAAGACGAUUCUUAAUUUUUUUAGUUAAAAAUUAAAAGACAUAUUCUUAUAUUUC